rnacentral:tRNA from 1 species
GACACUGUGGCGGAGCGGUUAACGCGCUGGCCUCGAAAGCCAGUUCCCUUUGGGAGCGCAGGUUCGAAUCCUGCCGGUGUCG